UGGAUCAUUGAUGAACAAAAAAAAAAACAUCUGGGAGUCCUCUGAGACAUCCAUGAUGACCACAACAUUGGGAGUCUGAGGUCCAC
rnacentral:snoRNA from 14 species